rnacentral:rRNA from 1 species
AGUGAACGCUGGCGGUAGGCCUAACACAUGCAAGUCGAACGGCAGCACAGUAAGAGCUUGCUCUUACGGGUGGCGAGUGGCGGACGGGUGAGGAAUACAUCGGAAUCUACUUUUUCGUGGGGGAUAACGUAGGGAAACUUACGCUAAUACCGCAUACGACCUACGGGUGAAAGCAGGGGAUCUUCGGACCUUGCGCGAUUGAAUGAGCCGAUGUCGGAUUAGCUAGUUGGCGGGGUAAAGGCCCACCAAGGCGACGAUCCGUAGCUGGUCUGAGAGGAUGAUCAGCCACACUGGAACUGAGACACGGUCCAGACUCCUACGGGAGGCAGCAGUGGGGAAUAUUGGACAAUGUGCGCAAGCCUGAUCCAGCCAUACCGCGUGGGUGAAGAAGGCCUGCGGGUUGUAAAGCCCUUUUGUUGGGAAAGAAAAGCAGCAGGUUAAUACCCCGCUGUUCUGACGGUACCCAAAGAAUAAGCACCGGCUAACUUCGU